UGGCUCAGAGGUUAAAGCGUCUGCCUAGAACGCAGGAGACCUGGGUUUGAUUCCUGG
rnacentral:tRNA from 1 species